rnacentral:rRNA from 1 species
UACGGGGGGGCAAGCGUUGUUCGGAAUUACUGGGCGUAAAGGGCUCGUAGGCGGCCAACUAAGUCGGACGUGAAAUCCCCAGGCUUAACUUGGGAACUGCGUCCGAUACUGGAUGGCUUGAAUCCGGGAGAGGGAUGCGGAAUUCCAGGUGUAGCGGUGAAAUGCGUAGAUAUCUGGAGGAACACCGGUGGCGAAGGCGGCAUCCUGGACCGGUAUUGACGCUGAGUGAGCGAAAGCCAGGGGAGCAAACGGG